rnacentral:rRNA from 1 species
UUGACCUCGGAUCAGGUAGGAAUACCCGCUGAACUUAAGCAUAUCAAUAAGCGGAGGAAAAGAAACCAACAGGGAUUCCCCUAGUAACGGCGAGUGAAGCGGGAACAGCUCAAAUUUGAAAUCUGGCCCUUGGGUCCGAGUUGUAAUUUGUAGAGGAUGCUUUUGGUGCGGUGCCUUCCGAGUUCCCUGGAACGGGACGCCUUAGAGGGUGAGAGCCCCGUACGGUUGGACGCCUAGCCUCUGUAAAGCUCCUUCGACGAGUCGAGUAGUUUGGGAAUGCUGCUCUAAAUGGGAGGUAUAUUUCUUCUAAAGCUAAAUACUGGCCAGAGACCGAUAGCGCACAAGUAGAGUGAUCGAAAGAUGAAAAGCACUUUGAAAAGAGGGUUAAAUAGCACGUGAAAUUGUUGAAAGGGAAGCGUUUAUCACCAGACUUUUUCUGGGGGGAUCAUCCGGUGUUCUCACCGGUGCACUUCCCCCAGUUGAGGCCAGCAUCGGUUUUCGGAGGGGGAUAAAAGCUUCGGGAAUGUGACUCCCUCGGGAGUGUUAUAGCCCGUUGCAUAAUACCUUCUGGGGACCGAGGUUCGCGCAUCCUGC